UGGCUGCCAGUGCUGGUGAUCAGCGGCCAGCGGGGCCCUGCUCUCUGCAGCCUGUCGAGGGCUGGGCCAGCUACAGGGGAGCCCUGGCUGGCUCCCAAGGAGGUUGGAGACUCGUCCAGCACCCUGAGGGCUUCCACAGAAAGUGAGCGGCAGCGGCCGGGCUUGGUGGCUCACGCCUGUAAUCCCAGCACUUUGGGAGGCCAAGGCGGGCAAAUCACGAGGUCAAGAGUUGUAGACAAGCCUGGGAAACAGGGAAACUCCGUCUCUACUAAAAAUACAAACAUUAGCCGGGUGUGGUGGCGCGUGCCUCUAGUCCCAGCUACUCGGGAGGCUGAGGCUGGAGAAUAGCUUGAACCCAGGAGGCAGAGGUUGCAGUGAGCCGAGAUUGCACCACUGCAUUCCAGCCUGGGCGACAGAGCAAGACUCUGUCUCAAAAAAAGAAACAAACAAAAAAACCUCACAGGGCCGUGACUCGAUUCCAGGGGACAUGUGUGGGAGACCACAGAGCACUGAGAGCCUCCAGCCCAUCCCCAACUCCGUCUGGAUUCCCAUGGAGCAAGUGACGGAGGCUAACCUCAAACGCCCCUGCCCUGGGGCCACAGCCUUUGUCUGUGUGGUGUGGUCUCUGCUUGUCACGGUUAUCCGGCCCGCACACCUGUGAGCUAGGCCAGCCGAUGGCACUGUCUAUAUUUUACACUGGGGGUGCAAACCAAAGCUGCAAAGGUCCCACGAUUUGCCAAGGUGGCACGGCAGGUUAGGGCUGGGAGCAGCGUUCUCCCAUCGUGUUCCCAGAGAAGCUGUCUGCCCAGUUCAGAAAGGUGGCCCGAGGGUAUAUGGCAAGGCCCGUCAAUUCACCCAGCUGGGUACCGGCUGCCUCCACCCCUGCACUCUGCUGUGGGCAGAGUGUGACCAGGCCUGGGGGGUGCGGGGGACAGAGACUGGGCUCCUGAGGAGUGGGGGUGGGAUAUGAACCCCCCCCAGUCACCAUCCUGCCGGUCGCAGAGCACUGCGUCCGUGUGAUGAACCCCCACCCCAGUCACCGUCCUGUCGGUUGCAGAGCACUGCGUCCGUGUGAUGAACCACCCCCAGUCACCCUCCUGCCGGUCGCAGAGCAUUGUGUUCGUGUGGAGGACACGCGAGGACUCUUGGAAGUGCUUUUUGGCGGGGUAGUGCAGUGUGUUCCGGGCGGACGGGCGUCAGUUUACGUGUGCGUUUCUCAUCCUUGCAGGUACCUGGCCCCGGGCACUCAGGUGGCAGGGACAUUUUGCUGUUAUCCUUCGUGGGGGUGGACGUGGAAGGCCCAG
rnacentral:lncRNA from 10 species